rfam:Rattus norvegicus chromosome 15, whole genome shotgun sequence.
GGGGAUUUAGCUCAGUGGUAGAGCGUUUGCCUCGCAAGCGCAAGGCCCUGGGUUCGGUCCCCAGCUCCG